rnacentral:misc_RNA from 1 species
UGACCAAUCAAGCUCUGCUUGGCCUUGGGGCCCGCUGUACCGGCGGCCCUUAAAAUUAGUGGCGGUGCCGUCUGGGUCUAAGCGUAGUAAUACUUCUCGCUAUAGGGUCCAGUCGUUUACCCGCCAGAACCCCCAACUUUCUUA